GAUGAACGCUGGCGGCGUGCCUAAUACAUGCAAGUCGAGCGAACAGACGCGGAGCUUGCUCCUCUGACGUUAGCGGCGGACGGGUGAAUCACACGUGUAUAACCUACCUAUCAGACUGGGAUAACUUCGGGACACCGGCGCUAAUCGCGUAUAAGAUAUUGAACCGCAUGGUUCAAUGGUGAAAUACGGCGUUUCUGUCACUUAUAGAUGCAUCUGCGCCGCAUUAGCUAGUUGGUAAGUUAACGGCUUACGACGGCAACGAUGCGUAGCCGACCGGAGAGGGGGGUCGCCGACACUGGAACUGGGACACGCUCCAGAGUCCUAAGGGAGGCAGCAGUAGGGAAUGUGACGCAAUGGGCGAAAGCUUGGCGGAGCAACGCCGCGCGAGUGACGACGGUCUUGGGAUCGUAAAACUCUGUUAUUAGGGAAGAACAAAUGUGUAAGUAACUAAGCACGUAUUGACGGUACCGAGUCAGAAAGCCACGGCUAACUACGUG
rnacentral:rRNA from 1 species